rfam:Schistosoma margrebowiei strain Zambia genome assembly, scaffold: SMRZ_scaffold0005275
AUCCAACUGAUAAGUCCUGGAUAGAAUGAAACGCGCGUCCUGGAU